UUAAGUUAUAAAGGGCGCAUGGUGGAUGCCUAGGCACUAGGAACCGAUGAAGGACGUAACUAACGACGAUACGCCUCGGGGAGCUGUAAGUAAGCUUUGAUCCGGGGAUUUCCGAAUGGGGGAACCCAAAUAUCGUAAUGGAUAUUUACUUGUUUGUGAAUACAUAGCAAUCAAGAGGAACACGCAAUGAACUGAAACAUCUAAGUAGUUGCAGGAAGAGAAAGAAAAUUCGAUUCCCUGAGUAGCGGCGAGCGAAACGGGAACAGCCCAAACUAAAGAGCUUGCUCUUUAGGGUUGUAGGACUGAUGUUGUGAGAACAAAAGGUAAUGAUAGUUGAACAAGCUGGAAAGCUUGGCCAAAGAGUGUGAAAGCCACGUAAACGAAAUCUGACCCACUCCAUUCAGUAUCCUGAGUACGGCGGAACACGAGAAACUCCGUCGGAAUCUGGGAGGACCAUCUCCCAAGGCUAAAUAUUCCCUAGUGACCGAUAGUGAACCAGUACCGUGAGGGAAAGGUGAAAAGUACCCCGGAAGGGGAGUGAAAUAGAUCCUGAAACCAUGUGCCUACAAGUAGUCAGAGCCCGUUAAUGGGUGAUGGCGUGCCUUUUGUAGAAUGAACCGGCGAGUUACGUUAACAUGCAAGGUUAAGAUGAAAAGUCGGAGCCGUAGCGAAAGCGAGUCUGAAUAGGGCGAUUGAGUAUGUUGAUGUAGACCCGAAACCAAGUGACCUAUCCAUGUCCAGGUUGAAGAUGCGGUAAAACGCAUUGGAGGACCGAACCCGUGUAUGUUGAAAAAUGCUGGGAUGAGAUGUGGAUAGCGGUGAAAUUCCAAACGAACUUGGAGAUAGCUGGUUCUCUCCGAAAUAGCUUUAGGGUUAGCCUCGGGGAUUAGGAUUAUGGAGGUAGAGCACUGUUUGGACUAGGGGCCCGUCUUGGGUUACUGAAUUCAGAUAAACUCCGAAUACCAUCAAUCUAUACCCGGGAGUCAGACGAUGAGUGAUAAGAUCCACCGUCGAAAGGGAAACAGCCCAGAUCACCAGUUAAGGUCCCAAAAUUCAUGCUAAGUGGAAAAGGAUGUGGAAACGCAUAGACAACUAGGAUGUUGGCUCAGAAGCAGCCAUUCAUUCAAAGAGUGCGUAAUAGCUCACUAGUCGAGUGAUUCUGCGCCGAAAAUGUACCGGGGCUAAGCAUGAUACCGAAACUGUGGAUGUGUCGCAAGACACGUGGUAGGAGAGCGUUGUAAUUGCAUUGAAGCUGUACCGUGAGGAGCAGUGGAGUGAUUAGAAGUGAGAAUGCCGGUAUGAGUAACGAAAGAUCAGUGAGAAUCUGGUCGGCCGAAAGACUAAGGUUUCCUGGGGAAGGCUCGUCCUCCCAGGGUUAGUCGGGGCCUAAGAUGAGACCGAGAGGUGUAAUCGAUGGAUAACGGGUUGAUAUUCCCGUACUAGUUUAUUUUGUUUGAACGAUGGAAGGACGCAGGAGGAUGAUGUGUGCACACUGAUGGAUAUGUGUGUCCAAGCCGCAAGCCUUGGGAUGAGUCAAAUGCUUAUCUCUCUAAGGGCAAGUUGUGAUGGGGAGCGAAAUUUANGUAUGAGUCAAAUGCUUAUACCUUUAAGGGCAAGUUGUGAUGGGGAGCGAAAUUUAGUAGCGAAGCACAGUAACUCACACUGCCGAGAAAAGUUCCUAGUUAGAAAUAAACUACCCGUACCGCAAACCGACACAGGUAGUCGAGGAGAGUAUCCUAAGGUCAGCGAGUGAACUCUCGUUAAGGAACUCGGCAAAAUGACCCCGUAACUUCGGGAGAAGGGGUGCUGGUGUAAAAACCAGCCGCAGUGAAUAGGCCCAAACAACUGUUUAUCAAAAACACAGGUCUAUGCUAAAUCGUAAGAUGACGUAUAUGGGCUGACGCCUGCCCGGUGCUGGAAGGUUAAGAGGAUCAGUUAGCGUAUGCGAAGCUGAGAAUUGAAGCCCCAGUAAACGGCGGCCGUAACUAUAACGGUCCUAAGGUAGCGAAAUUCCUUGUCGGGUAAGUUCCGACCCGCACGAAAGGCGUAAUGAUUUGGGCACUGUCUCAACGAGAGACUCGGUGAAAUUAUAAUACCCGUGAAGAUGCGGGUUACCCGCGACAGGACGGAAAGACCCCAUGGAGCUUUACUGUAGCUUGAUAUUGAGUUUUUGUGUGACAUGUACAGGAUAGGUAGGAGCCAUUGAUCUCGGAACGCUAGUUUCGAGGGAGGCGUUGGUGGGAUACUACCCUUGUUAUAUGAAAACUCUAACCUACACCGCUUAGCGCGGUGAGGGACAGUGUCUGGUGGGCAGUUUGACUGGGGCGGUCGCCUCCUAAAAUGUAACGGAGGCGCUCAAAGGUUCUCUCAGAAUGGUUGGAAAUCAUUCGCAGAGUGUAAACGUAUAAGAGAGCUUGACUGCGAGUCUGACAAGACGAGCAGGGACGAAAGUCGGAGUUAGUGAUCCGGUGGUACCAUAUGGAAGGGCCAUCGCUCAACGGAUAAAAGCUACCCUGGGGAUAACAGGCUUAUCUCCCCCAAGAGUUCACAUCGACGGGGAGGUUUGGCACCUCGAUGUCGGCUCAUCGCAUCCUGGGGCUGUAGUCGGUCCCAAGGGUUGGGCUGUUCGCCCAUUAAAGCGGUACGCGAGCUGGGUUCAGAACGUCGUGAGACAGUUCGGUCCCUAUCCGUCGCGGGCGUAGGAAAUUUGAGAGGAGCUGUCCUUAGUACGAGAGGACCGGGAUGGACAUACCUCUGGUGUACCAGUUGUGCCGCCAGGCGCAUCGCUGGGUAGCUACGUAUGGAAGGGAUAAACGCUGAAAGCAUCUAAGUGUGAAGCCCCCCUCGAGAUGAGAUUUCCCAUUCCUUUAUGGAAGUAAGAUCCGUUAGAGAUUAUGACGUAGAUAGGCUGCGGGUGGAAGUAUAGCGAUAUAUGGAGCUGAGCAGUACUAAUAGAUCGAGGACUUAAUCG
rnacentral:rRNA from 1 species